rnacentral:rRNA from 1 species
UGAGGGUCCAUUAAAGAGAGCAAUCUUGGUUACAGACGAGCAUGCGCUCCAUUAGCCAGUUGGCGGGGUAACGGCCACCCAAAGCGACGAUGGAUAGGGGUUCUGAGAGGAAGGUCCCCCACAUUGGAACUGAGACACGGUCCAAACUCCUACGGGAGGCAGCAGUGAGGAAUAUUGGUCAAUGGUCGGCAGACUGAACCAGCCAAGUCGCGUGAGGGAAGACGGCCCUACGGGUUGUAAACCUCUUUUGUCGGAGAGUAAAGUACGCUACGUGUAGCGUAUUGCAAGUAUCCGAAGAAAAAGCAUCGGCUAACUCCGUGCCAGCAGCCGCGGUAAUACGGAGGAUGCGAGCGUUAUCCGGAUUUAUUGGGUUUAAAGGGUGCGUAGGCGGCACGCCAAGUCAGCGGUGAAAUUUUCGGGCUCAACCCGGACUGUGCUGUUGAAACUGGCGAGCUAGAGUGCACAAGAGGCAGGCGGAAUGCGUGGUGUAGCGGUGAAAUGCAUAGAUAUCACGCAGAACCCCGAUUGCGAAGGCAGCCUGCUAGGGUGCGACAGACGCUGAGGCACGAAAGCGUGGGUAUCGAACAGGAUUAGAUACCCUGGUAGUCCACGCAGUAAACGAUGAAUACUAACUGUUUGCGAUACAAUGUAAGCGGUACAGCGAAAGCGUUAAGUAUUCCACCUGGGGAGCUACGCCGGCAA